UAAAGGAGUUAUACCGAGAGUGCUCCACCUGAUACCAUCCCGAACUCAGAAGUGAAAUCUCUCAUGGCCCAUGAUAGUCGGGAUUACCCGGCGAAAGUAGGUAACUCCUCUAC
rfam:Candidatus Yanofskybacteria bacterium RIFCSPHIGHO2_02_FTLL_46_19 rifcsphigho2_02_scaffold_268, whole genome shotgun sequence.